UACAGAGGUCUCAAGCGUUGUUCGGAUUCAUUGGGCGUAAAGGGUGCGUAGGCGGCGCGGUAAGUCGGGUGUGAAAUCUCGGAGCUUAACUCCGAAACUGCAUUCGAUACUGCCGUGCUUGAGGACUGGGAGAGGAGACUGGAAUUUACGGUGUAGCGGUGAAAUGCGUAGAUAUCGUAAGGAAGACCAGUGGCGAAGGCGGGU
rnacentral:rRNA from 1 species